rnacentral:rRNA from 1 species
GACAGAGGGUGCAAACGUUGUUCGGAAUUACUGGGCGUAAAGGGUGCGUAGGCGGGUCUUUAAGUCAGGGGUGAAAUCCUGGAGCUCAACUCCAGAACUGCCUUUGAUACUGAAGAUCUUGAGUUCGGGAGAGGUGAGUGGAACUGCGAGUGUAGAGGUGAAAUUCGUAGAUAUUCGCAAGAACACCAGUGGCGAAGGCGAGUCUCUGGCACGCAUCUGACGCUGAAACACGAAAGCCAGGGGAGCGAACGGG